CCCUUAGAUGUUCUGGGCCGCACGCGCGCUACACUGAUGCAUUCAACGAGCCUAGCCUUGACCGAGAGGUCCGGGUAAUCUUUGAAACUGCAUCGUGAUGGGGCUAGAUUAUUGCAAUUAUUAAUCUUCAACGAGGAAUGCCUAGUAAGCGUGAUUCAUCAAAUCGCGUUGAUUACGUCCCUGCCCUUUGUACACACCGCCCGUCGCUCCUACCGAUUGAGUGUGUUGGUGAGGAGUUUGGAUUGGCCUUGGAAGGUGGUUCGCCACCGUCCGUAGCUGAGAAGUUCUCCAAACCGCCCCACUUAGAGGAAGGAGAAGUCGUAACA
rnacentral:rRNA from 1 species